rnacentral:lncRNA from 1 species
ACACUUGCUGCCUCCUCUGCCUGGAACUCUCUCCCUCUGCUCUCACAGGGUUCCCUAAGUGUCGCUUCCUCCAAGAAGCCCUCCCUGAUGAGUUGAGCCACUUUAGUUUGUGCUCAGGCUCACCCUGCACGUCUUGGUUGCUCUCAUCACUGUAAUGAUCUAAAACACACGUCUGCUCAUGAGACCCGCAUCCCACCCCCGAUGCUGGGGCCGCUCUUGGAUUUUCAUGCCUGCUGCCAGCACCCAGGGGGAGCUCCGGAAAUGUCUGCUGGGGGCUCGGAAUACCCACCUUUCUGGUAAUGCAGCCCAGCGGGUCCCAGCCUCGUUUUCCAGCCCUCACUCAAAAUGGAGUCGCUCUGGUUCGAACGCCUCUGACAAGUGUGUACCUACGUGUCAGGGAGCCUGCUCACAUGACCGUGUGGAGAAAGUUCUUUCCCUGAGGACCAUCUGGAGUGGACGCGUGCACUACCCCUCUCUGAAUACACCCUCCCCACGAGGCCCUCUGGAGCAUCCUGUAGAGCCAGCCCCUACCCAGAGACCCUGAGCCCAGAGAAUGCGCUGGGUGGUGAGCCUGGGGACGAAUGCAGAGCCCUAGGUCUCCUCUCCAGAAAGACCGGAUUUUGCCAUGUUGGCCAGGCUGGUCUUGAACUCCUGACCUCAAGUGAUCCACCUGCCUCGGCCUCCCAAAGUGCAGGGAUUACAGGUGUGAGCCACUGCACCCGGCCUCAGGCAGGUAUUUUUACCAGCCGAAUACUCUUGCACUGUGCACUCUUCGUGUUCAUCAUCAGUCCCCCGGAUGGGUGUUUAAGGCAUUUCCAAAGCUCUGUUAUUAAAAACACGAUGCAAUGAGUUUCUUUCAGCAUUUCCCCUUGUUGCCGUGUGAAUGCGUCCGUGGUAUAACUUCCUAAAAGUGGAAUCGCUUGGUCAAAGGGUGGGUGCAUUUAGCAACCUGAUGGCUUUCCAGGAGACAAGUGCUGCCUCCCGGCCACGAGCUUUUAAGAAGAACUGUUGAUGGAACCCGAGCUGGAGUCCCAGGGACCGGGGCGAGUUCUCCAUCCCAGGGGAUUUUCAGAUGGGACACUGGGGAGAAGCUGCCCUGCCCAUCUGAACUCUAUGAUCCCAGUACUAACACUGGUAGCUGUGCCAUCCCCAGUAUAGAGACAGCACCGUGCUCUUGGGAGGGUGAGUCAUUGGCCCCCGGCUGCCCAGCAAACAGCAUGUGACCCCCACUUCCCAGCCAGGCCUGGGUCCUCUUGGGUUCCGAGAUCCCAGCCCCCUGCUGUGAUCCUCAGGGAUCCCUUCUUGACUGGCGUCUCCCAGAGGCACUUGUGUUCCCCCAGAGCUUGCUCUCCACAAGUUUCUGAAACUCAUUGCUGCUGCUGGAGACUCCAUUGGGUCUAGCUCUUGGCUGCUCUGGUUGUGCAAUCACCCGUCUGCACGUUUUUCUUUCGUGCAGAGAAAGAUCUGCCUCAUCUUUCUGCAAGAGCAUCUUGGUAUUUAUACACUUUUUGUCUUGAUUUUACAAUUUUUGGCUGGGCACGGUGGCUUACGCCUGUAAUCCCAACACUUUGGGAGGCUGAGGAGGGUGGAUCAUGAGGUCAGGAGUUCAAGACCAGCCUGGCCAAGAUGGUGAAACCCUGUCUCUACUAAAAAUACAAAAAUUAGCCUGGCGUGGUGGCGGGCACCUGUAAUCCCAGCUACUCGGGAGGCUGAGACAGAGAAUUGCUUGAACCCGGGAGGCGGAGGUUGCAGUGAGCUGAGAUCACACCACUGUGCUCCAGCCUGGGCAACAGAGUGAGACUCCGGCUCGAGAAAAAAAAAUUAUUUCUUGGUUGGGCAAUGUCACUGUUGUUUCUGAAAAAAUACACCCUUAUUGUACCAUAAACUGAUGAGUUGAAGCAACACUGGAAACUACAAGAAAGAAGGUAAAAGUCAUCAACACGCUUCACCUGGAGAUGACUCUGGUUAAUGUCUAGGUGGACGUCCUUCUGCAGAGUGUACACAUUUCGCCCCAUCCCCUCUAAUGACAAUGAAAACCUCUCUGUUUCUUGCUGAAGGUGGGGUGUGUAAGUCACUGGAGUGGAUCUGAGGGCCUGAAAAUCUCCAUCCCCUCCCCUCCCACAGCGUAAACAAACAGCCUCCCAGCACCCCUCCCGCACUGCCAGGUUGGAAGCCACCGCUCCAGCUCCAGGGAGCAAGGCUUGGUGCCCACUAAGCAGGUGCUAAUGAUUCCCCCACUCUCAAAGAAAGUUCCAUUCACUCCCCAAGGUUCCACUCCCCUACCUUCCAGACACUCCAGUUUGUGUAUUGAGUUCACACAAAGCCAAGUUGGCCUCUGUCUGCUUUGUGGUUCUAUCUCUAACCCCCACCCACCAUCAGCAACAAUCGACUUUUUCUAAGCGCAGAGAGGGCCCCAGCUUGGGCCUGGGUGGUCCCAUUUGCCUGUGCCUCUCUGGUGACAUAGAUGGUUGGUUGACCCCUGGGAUGUCAGGGGCUUCCUGGGAGGACCUUCGCCUGCAGGGAAGAAAGAGCCUGGCCUUGCUUCUUAGGGAGGAGGCAUGACCCCAGGUGGCAGUGUGGUGGUGGCGGCUCUAGGACCCAACUGGACGCAGGCGUAGACAUUUCUGUAAGGACAACGGGCACCUGGAACCCACACAACCUUGCUCUGGGGCCUCUUGGAGGCACAGGGCUCUGGCAAAUUGGGACAUCAUCCACCGGGGAGUGGCAGAUGUUGCUGUUAUUCCCAGUGAGGGGUGGCAGGGGUGAGUGGUGGAGGGUGUGGCAGUUUCCAUGGCAGGGGCAGCUUUGCCCUGCGUGGCACCACGGUGGCCUCCCUUAGUCGUUCCUCAGACCUGUUCCUGAGCAUUUGUGAGUCUUCCUGGUGCCCGAAGAAACCCUGGGGGCGGCUUGACAUGAAACAAGAGCAGGAAGGGGGCAAGAGCCUGUGACACUGUCAGGGUGACCCUGUGGCUUCUUCAGGGGAGGGUGGGUGGUGCAGAAGCUUGGGUUUUGGAAUCACACGGACUGGAGAGUGUCCUAGUUGAGUCUUAUGCUGACUGGCUGUGUGACCUUGGGCAAGUCACUUAAGGUCUCUGAGCCCCCGUUUCCUCAUCCACCCUAGAGGCACAGUAGUGCCCACGUGGUGGGCUUGGAUGAAAGACAGAACUCGAUGCCCAGGCCUCCUCACCUGGCAGCGCUGCUUUGCUCUGUCUGCUUGCCCUGGCGGUGGUGGCCUGGGAAGAGCUGAGUUACAGAAGUUGGGGGACUUCAGGAAGCCACAGUUCUCAUCCCAGUGGCUCCUAAGUCUUGACAGCAGUGGGGUCCAAGCUAUAUUUCACACCCGCCUUCCCAUUGCAAUCUUGUUCUUCUUUCUUCUUGAAAUGAAUCUGACCCAAGUGAUCAAUACAGAAGGAUGCAGGGGUAGGGGCUGUGAGACCUCACCUGGACCUCUCCAUUCCCCACCAGAUGCCCCCUAGGGUCUAUGGAACAGUUGGAAAAACCCCUGGCCCCAAGAGGUGCUGGCGGCAGAUAAACGGGGAGGGGGGGCGGUAAGGGGAGUCGUUUUCCAAUGCAUUCCUCACUGCUCUGGCUUAGAAGAAAGACGCGUCUCGUCUCGGGUGCUUCUGAGGGUCCUGCAGGGCCUGAGGUUGCUAAGCCAGGCGGCCCACCUUUCCCCCUUCCCAUAAGACAUGAAGACGCCCCUCCGUGUGGCACAGGGCAGAGCUGGCCAGAGCCCUGCUCAGUGUGUCUGGCCACUUGACCUGGGACAAGCCCUCCUUCUGAGCCUCUGCUGUAUGGGGCAACCGUAGGGCCCUGGUUCGGAGCCCGGUGUGGGGAGGAUAGGAGGAGCUGUCAGGCCCCAUGCACUGCCCCUGGUGCCAGUCAGUACCUGAUCAGUGGUGCUUGCCAUUCUUUUUUCUUUUUUUUUUUUUGAGACAGGGCCUCCCUCUGUCACCCAGGCUGGUGUGCAGUGGCACAAUCUCAGCUCACUCUGUAGCCUCGACCUCCUGGGCUCAAGCGAUCCUAUGUACAGGGCGUGGCAGUUUGCAGGGGCCAGGAUCCUGGUCCUUGGUCAAGGCGAGGGAGGCCUCACCGGGCCCAGUUUGCAGAUAAGGAAACUGAGGCUCCUUGAAGGCAGGCCACAGACUGCUAGUGGGUGUGGCCCCUUGACCUGACAGGCUAUGACUAGGGAAGGGGCACGCUUUCCCCCGCUCCUCGCCCCAGUUUUAGGAACCCCCGC